UAGAGCACUUGGUUUGGGACCAAGGGGUCGCAGGUUCGAAUCCUGUUUUCCCGA
rfam:Lactobacillus aviarius subsp. araffinosus DSM 20653 NODE_10, whole genome shotgun sequence.